rnacentral:rRNA from 1 species
UACGUAGGGUGCAAGCGUUAAUCGGAAUUACUGGGCGUAAAGCGUGCGCAGGCGGCUUUGCAAGACAGAUGUGAAAUCCCCGGGCUCAACCCGGGAACUGCGUCCGAUACUGGAAGGCUUGAAUCCGGGAGAGGGAUGCGGAAUUCCAGGUGUAGCGGUGAAAUGCGUAGAUAUCUGGAGGAACACCGGUGGCGAAGGCGGCAUCCUGGACCGGUAUUGACGCUGAGGCGCGAAAGCCAGGGGAGCAAACGGG